GAUGAACGCUGGCGGCGUGCCUAAUACAUGCAAGUCGAGCGAACAGACGAGGAGCUUGCUCCUCUGACGUUAGCGGCGGACGGGUGAGUAACACGUGGAUAACCUACCUAUAAGACUGGGAUAACUUCGGGAAACCGGAGCUAAUACCGGAUAAUAUAUUGAACCGCAUGGUUCAAUAGUGAAAGACGGUUUUGCUGUCACUUAUAGAUGGAUCCGCGCCGCAUUAGCUAGUUGGUAAGGUAACGGCUUACCAGGGCGACGAUGCGUAGCCGACCUGAGAGGGUGAUCGGCCACACUGGAACUGAGACACGGUCCAGACUCCUACGGGAGGCAGCAGUAGGGAAUCUUCCGCAAUGGGCGGAAGCCUGACGGAGCAACGCCGCGUGAGUGAUGAAGGUCUUCGGAUCGUAAAACUCUGUUAUUAGGGAAGAACAAAUGUGUAAGUAACUAUGCACGUCUUGACGGUACCUAAUCAGAAAGCCACGGCUAACUACGUG
rnacentral:rRNA from 1 species